rnacentral:rRNA from 1 species
GACUACAGGUGACAGCAGUGAGGAAUAUUGGUCAAUGGACGAGAGUCUGAACCAGCCAAGUAGCGUGAAGGAUGACUGCCCUAUGGGUUGUAAACUUCUUUUAUAAAGGAAUAAAACGAGGCACGUGUGCCUUUUUGCAUGUACUUUAUGAAUCAGGAUCGGCUAACUCCGUGCCAGCAGCCGCGGUAAUACGGAGGAUCCGAGCGUUAUCCGGAUUUAUUGGGUUUAAAGGUAGCGUAGAUGGGUUGUUAAGUCAGUUGUGAAAGUUUGCGGCUCAAACGUAAAAGUGCAAGUGAUACUUGCAGUCUUGAGUACAGUUGAGGUAGGCGGAAUUCGUGGUGGAGCGGUGAAAUGCUUAGAUAUCACGAAGAACCCCGAUUGCGAAGGCAGCUUACUAAACUGUGACUGACAUUGAUGCUCGAAAGUGUGGGUAUUAAACAGGAUUAGAUACCCGGGUAGUC